rnacentral:rRNA from 1 species
UACGGAGGGUGCAAGCGUUAUCCGGAUUCACUGGGUUUAAAGGGUGCGUAGGAGGGCAGGUAAGUCAGUGGUGAAAUCUCCAAGCUUAACUUGGAAACUGCCGUUGAUACUAUCUGUCUUGAAUACCGUGGAGGUGAGCGGAAUAUGUCAUGUAGCGGUGAAAUGCUUAGAUAUGACAUAGAAUACCAAUUGCGAAGGCAGCUGGCUACGCGAAUAUUGACACUCAGGCACGAAAGCGUGGGGAUCAAACAGG